GUCGAACGAUGAAGCCUUUCGGGGUGGAUUAUUGGCGAACGGGUGAGUAACACGUGGGCAAUCUGCCCUUCACUCUGGGACAAGCCCUGGAAACGGGGUCUAAUACCGGAUAAUACUUCUGCCUGCAUGGGAGGGGGAUGAAAGCUCCGGCGGUGAAGGAUGAGCCCGCGGCCUAUCAGCUUGUUGGUGGGGUAAUGGCCUACCAAGGCGACGACGGGAAGCCGGCCUGAUGAGGGCGACCGGAUCACACUGGCGACUGAGACACGGACCCAGACUCCUACAGGCAGGCAGCAGUGGGGAAUAUUGCACAAUGGGCGAAAGCCUGAUGCAGCGACGCCGCGUGAGGGAUGACGGCCUUCGGGUUGUAAACCUCUUUCAGCAGGGAAGAAGCGCAAGUGACGGUACCUGCAGAAGAAGCGCCGGCUAACUACGUGCCAGCAGCCGCGGUAAUACGUAUGGCGCAAGCGUUGUCCGGAAUUAUUGAGCGUAAAGAGCUCGUACGCGGCUUGUCACGUCGGAUGUGAAAGCCCGGGGCUUAUCCCCGGGACUGCAUUCGAUACGGGCUAGCUAGAGUGUGGUAUGGGAGAUCGGAAUUCCUGGUGUAGCGGUGAAAUGCGCAGAUAUCAGGAGGAACACCGGUGGCGAAGGCGGAUCUCUGGGCCAUUACUGACGCUGAGGAGCGAAAGCGUGGGGAGCGAACAGGAUUAGAUACCCUGGUAGUCCACGCCGUAAACGUUGGGAACUAGGUGUUGGCGACAUUCCACGUCGUCGGUGCCGCAGCUAACGCAUUAAGUUCCCCGCCUGGGGAGUACGGCCGCAAGGCUAAAACUCAAAGGAAUUGACGGGGGCCCGCACAAGCAGCGGAGCAUGUGGCUUAAUUCGACGCAACGCGAAGAACCUUACCAAGGCUUGACAUAUACCGGAAAGCAUCAGAGAUGGUGCCCCCCUUGUGGUCGGUAUACAGGUGGUGCAUGGCUGUCGUCAGCUCGUGUCGUGAGAUGUUGGGUUAAGUCCCGCAACGAGCGCAACCCUUGUUCUGUGUUGCCAGCAUGCCUUUCGGGGUGAUGGGGACUCACAGGAGACUGCCGGGGUCAACUCGGAGGAAGGUGGGGACGACGUCAAGUCAUCAUGCCCCUUAUGUCUUGGGCUGCACACGUGCUACAAUGGCCGGUACAAUGAGCUGCGAUGCCGUGAGGCGGAGCGAAUCUCAAAAAGCCGGUCUCAGUUCGGAUUGGGGUCUGCAACUCGACCCCAUGAAGUCGGAGUUGCUAGUAAUCGCAGAUCAGCAUUGCUGCGGUGAAUACGUUCCCGGGCCUUGUACACACCGCCCGUCACGUCACGAAAGUCGGUAACACCCGAAGCCGGUGGCCCAACCCCU
rnacentral:rRNA from 1 species